GGGCCCGCACAAGCGGCGGAGCGUGCUCUUUAAUUCGUCGCAACGCGAAGAACCUUACCAGGGUUUGACAUGGACCUGCAGAGCCGUGAAAGCGGUUGGCCUUCGAGGGUGGUCCACAGGUGCUGCAUGGCUGUCGUCAGCUCGUGUCGUGAGAUGUUGGGUUAAGUCCCGCAACGAGCGCAACCCUUGUGUCCAGUUGCGAUUUUCUGGACAGACUGCCGGGAGCAAACCGGAGGAAGGUGGGGAUGAUGUCAAGUCAGCAUGGCCCUUACACCCUGGGCGAGAAGCACGCUACAAUGGCCGGGACAGAGGGUUGCCAAGCGGUAACGUGGAGCUAAUCCCAGAAACCCGGUCUCAGUUCGGAUCGAGGGCUGCAACUCGCCCUCGUGAAGGUGGAGUCGCUAGUAACCGCAGGUCAGCACUACUGCGGUGAAUAUGUUCCCGGGCCUU
rnacentral:rRNA from 1 species